rnacentral:rRNA from 1 species
GAUGAACGCUAGCGGCAGGCUUAACACAUGCAAGUCGAGGGGUAGAGUUAGCUUGCUAACUUGAGACCGGCGCACGGGUGCGUAACGCGUAUGCAAUCUACCUUUUACAGAGGGAUAGCCCAGAGAAAUUUGGAUUAAUACCUCAUAGUAUCUUUGCCUGGCAUCAGGUGAUUAUUAAAGUUCCAACGGUAAAAGAUGAGCAUGCGUCCUAUUAGCUAGAUGGUAAGGUAACGGCUUACCAUGGCAACGAUAGGUAGGGGUCCUGAGAGGGAGAUCCCCCACACUGGUACUGAGACACGGACCAGACUCCUACGGGAGGCGGCAGUGAGGAAUAUUGGACAAUGGGCGCAAGCCUGAUCCAGCCAUGCCGCGUGCAGGAAGAAGCAUCUAUGGUGUGUAAACUGCUUUUGUACGGGAAGAAACACUCCCUCGUGAGGGAGCUUGACGGUACCGUAAGAAUAAGGAUCGGCUAACUCCGUGCCAGCCGCCGCAGUAAGAC